rnacentral:rRNA from 1 species
GAUGAACGCUGGCGGCGUGCCUAACACAUGCAAGUCGAGCGUGAAGUUUUGGAAUGAUACUUCGGUAAAGUGAAGGAACGGAAAGCGGCGGACGGGUGAGUAACGCGUAGGUAACCUGCCCCAUACACAGGGAUAGCCUAGGGAAACCUGGAUUAAUACCUGAUAAUGCGAAGGAGUCACAUGACUUUUACGUCCAAAGAUUGAUCGGUAUGGGAUGGACCUGCGUCUGAUUAGCUGGUUGGUGAGGUAACGGCUCACCAAGGCAGCGAUCAGUAGCCGACCUGAGAGGGUAAUCGGCCACAUUGGAACUGAGACACGGUCCAAACUCCUACGGGAGGCAGCAGUGGGGAAUAUUGCACAAUGGGCGCAAGCCUGAUGCAGCAACGCCGCGUGAGCGAAGAAGGUCUUCGGAUCGUAAAGCUCUGUCCUUAGGGAAGAAACAAAUGACGGUACCUAAGGAGGAAGCCCCGGCUAACUACGUGCCAGCAGCCGCGGUAAA